ACGGAGGGGGCUAGCGUUGUUCGGAAUUACUGGGCGUAAAGCGCGCGCAGGCGGCUAUCCAAGUCAGUGGUGAAAGCCCGGAGCUCAACUCCGGAACUGCCAUUGAAACUGUUGGACUUGAGGACGAGAGAGGUGAGUGGAAUUCCCAGUGUAGAGGUGAAAUUCGUAGAUAUUGGGAAGAACACCGGUGGCGAAGGCGGCUCACUGGCUCGUUUCUGACGCUCAGGCGCGACAGCGUGGGGAGCAAACAGGA
rnacentral:rRNA from 1 species